rnacentral:lncRNA from 1 species
UUGGCAACUUUCCUCUCUGUCCAUAGCUCUCUUUAUUCUUUCUAUUGAUAUUGUAGAAUACUUGCUUCUCACUCCUUGCUCGUACUAAUACUACUUUCUUGCUUACUGAACUAAACCCUACAAUCCAAUAAUUUAACCCCAAACAACAAUGUUCAAAAUGCUAAAGAAAACUUUCACUAAAUUCUUUGCUGCUAAUCUUUUACUCAGGAUUUGAAUCAACAAUCCCUAAUUUAAUUUAUCCUAACUUCAC